AGAGUUUGAUCAUGGCUCAGAGCGAACGUUUGCGGCGGGCCUAACACAUGCAAGUCGAACGGAUCAGGGGGCAACUCCUGGUCAGUGGCGCACGGGUGCGUAACACGUGGGUAAUCAACCCUUUGGACUGGGACAACCCGGGGAAACUCGGGCUAAUACCGGAUGUGGCGUAGUGGUCUUCGGGCCGCUACGCGAAAGCUCCGCAAGGGGCACCAGAGGACGAGCCCGCGUCCCAUCAGCUAGUUGGUGAGGUAAUGGCUCACCAAGGCUAAGACGGGUAGCUGGUCUGAGAGGAUGAUCAGCCACACUGGAACUGAGACACGGUCCAGACUCCUACGGGAGGCAGCAGUGGGGAAUCUUAGACAAUGGGCGCAAGCCUGAUCUAGCCAUGCCGCGUGGGUGAAGAAGGCCUUAGGGUCGUAAAGCCCUUUCGCUGGGGAAGAUAAUGACGGUACCCAGUAAAGAAACCCCGGCUAACUCCGUGCCAGCAGCCGCGGUAAUAC
rnacentral:rRNA from 1 species